AUUGUGAAUCCCUCCCUUGCAUGGUAGAAAGCUUGAAAAGAAGGUUGUUGGGAAUAAAAGUGCAGUUCUGCUCCUGAUACUGUGUGUCGUCCAGUUAUUGGGAAAGGUGAUGGGAUACUAUUGGAUUUUACUGCUGAUUGAGCUUGUUAUGCUGGUGGAUUAUUCGCUCACUGUGGGUACUGUGCCUGGGAUUAUUGCUUGUUCCUGAG